rnacentral:rRNA from 1 species
AUUGAACGCUGGCGGCAUGCUUUACACAUGCAAGUCGAACGGUAACAGGGACUUCGGUCUGCUGACGAGUGGCGAACGGGUGAGUAACAUAUCGGAACGUGCCCAGUAAUGGGGGAUAGCUCGGCGAAAGCCGGAUUAAUACCGCAUACGCCCUGAGGGGGAAAGUGGGGGAUCUUCGGACCUCACGUUAUUGGAGCGGCCGUUAUCAGAUUAGCUAGUUGGUGGGGUAAAGGCCUACCAAGGCGACGAUCUGUAGCUGGUCUGAGAGGAUGAUCAGCCACACUGGGACUGAGACACGGCCCAGACUCCUACGGGAGGCAGCAGUGGGGAAUUUUGGACAAUGGGCGAAAGCCUGAUCCAGC